rnacentral:rRNA from 1 species
GAUAUCCUACGGGACGCAGCAGUGGGGAAUAUUGGGCAAUGGACGCAAGUCUGACCCAGCAACGCCGCGUGAAGGAAGAAGGCUUUCGGGUUGUAAACUUCUUUUAAGGGGGAAGAGCAGAAGACGGUACCCCUUGAAUAAGCCGCGGCUAACUACGUGCCAGCAGCCGCGGUAAUACGUAGGUGGCAAGCGUUGUCCGGAUUUACUGGGUGUAAAGGGCGUGCAGCCGGGGAGACAAGUCAGAUGUGAAAUCCACGGGCUCAACCCGUGAACUGCAUUUGAAACUGUUUCCCUUGAGUGUCGGG